rnacentral:rRNA from 1 species
GAAACCGUUCAGGGGUAAACCUGAGAAACCCAAAAGAUCGAAUGGGGAGAUUCAUCGUCGACGAGGCUGGCUCCCGUUGGUGCGCGAUACUCCGGGUGGGACCUUCGCGGUCACCAUUAGCGAGGGUACACCACCGACGGCGAACGUUCCGGCCGCGUAGUCGUGCACUUCUCCCCUAGUAGAACGUCGCGACCCGUUGCGUGUCGGUCUACGGCCCGAGCGGUUGCCUGUUUCGUUGCUCCCAGAGCACGCGACAGACCCUCGGUCGCCCGGCCGGCUGCGCGACGGUACUCUCUGACGGUAUCGGGCCGCAACCAAUCCAUUCUCGAAUGUGUGUGCGUCAGGCCCGCCGCAAGCCCGGUCAGUUCUUACCCGGAGGCACGGACCUGGUGCCGUCCCCGGGCCUGGCCAGCUGUUAGCAGGCGGUGUCCUUGGACUGGCCAAGCUUCGAAUUACCGGUCGGCGACGCUACUGCUUUGGGUACUCUCAGGACCCGUCUUGAAACACGGACCAAGGAGUCUAACAUGUGCGCGAGUCAUUGGGAGGAAAGAAACCUAAAGGCGGAAUGAAAGUGAAGGUCGACCUUUGCGUCGACCGAGGGAGGAUCGGCCGCGUUACGAUGCGGCCCCGCACUCCCGGGGCGUCUCGUUCUCAUUGCGAGAAGAGGCGCACCUAGAGCGUACACGUUGGGACCCGAUGGUGGU